rnacentral:rRNA from 1 species
AACGCGAAGAACCUUACCAAGGCUUGACAUAUAGAGGAAAAGUGCAGAGAUGCACUCCCCGCAAGGUCUCUAUACAGGUGGUGCAUGGUUGUCGUCAGCUCGUGUCGUGAGAUGUUGGGUUAAGUCCCGCAACGAGCGCAACCCUCGUCCUAUGUUGCCAGCACGUUAAGGUGGGAACUCAUGGGAUACUGCCGGGGUCAACUCGGAGGAAGGUGGGGAUGACGUCAAAUCAUCAUGCCCCUUAUGUCUUGGGCUUCACGCAUGCUACAAUGGCCGGUACAGAGGGCAGCAAUACCGCAAGGUGGAGCGAAUCCCAGAAAGCCGGUCUCAGUUCGGAUUGAGGUCUGCAACUCGACCUCAUGAAGUCGGAGUCGCUAGUAAUCGCGAAUCAGCAACGUCGCGGUGAAUACGUUCCCGGGUCUGUACACACCG